rnacentral:rRNA from 1 species
UACGUAGGGUGCAAGCGUUGUCCGGAAUUAUUGGGCGUAAAGAGCUCGUAGGCGGUUUGUCGCGUCGGCUGUGAAAUCCUGAGGCUCAACCUCAGGCCUGCAGUCGAUACGGGCAGACUUGAGUGUUGCAGGGGAGACUGGAAUUCCUGGUGUAGCGGUGAAAUGCGCAGAUAUCAGGAGGAACACCGGUGGCGAAGGCGGGUCUCUGGGCAACAACUGACGCUGAGGAGCGAAAGCGUGGGGAGCGAACAGG